UACGUAGGGGGCAAGCGUUGUUCGGAAUUACUGGGCGUAAAGGGUGCGUAGGCGGUGUGGUAAGUCAGGUGUGAAAGGCCCGGGCUCAACCGAGGAACUGCUUUUGAUACUGCCAAGCUAGAGUGCGGAAGAGGCAACUGGAAUUCCCAGUGUAGCGGUGAAAUGCGUAGAUAUUGGGAAGAACACCGGAGGCGAAGGCGGGUUGCUGGGCCGACACUGACGCUGAGGCGCGAAAGCAUGGGGAGCAAACAGG
rnacentral:rRNA from 1 species